UACGGAGGGUGCGAGCGUUAAUCGGAAUUACUGGGCGUAAAGCGCGCGUAGGCGGGCGAUUAAGUCGGAUGUGAAAUCCCCGGGCUUAACCUGGGAACUGCGUCCGAUACUGGUUGCCUAGAGUAUGGAAGAGGGAAGCGGAAUUCCAGGUGUAGCGGUGAAAUGCGUAGAUAUCUGGAGGAACAUCAGUGGCGAAGGCGGCUUCCUGGUCCAAUACUGACGCUGAGGUGCGAAAGCGUGGGGAGCAAACAGG
rnacentral:rRNA from 1 species